rnacentral:lncRNA from 1 species
AGUUGUAGUUUAUUAAGUCUCCCAAACAAAGUUUGGAGACUUAUUGUUUUUGGUCAGUUCUUAUUAUUAUGUCACCCGAUCGACAAAGUCGGGUGACAUAUUGCUUUUCCUCUGUUUCUUUUUCCCUAUUAUUAUGGCACCCUCAACGGAGUUGGGGUGACAUAUUGUUAUUGUUCGUUUCUUUUUUUCUUAUUAUGUCACCCGAUCGACAAUGUCGGGUGACAUAUUGCUAUUCCUCUGUUUCUUUUUCACUAUUAUUAUUAUUAUGGCACCCUCAACGGAGUUGGGGUGACAUAUUGUUAUUGUUCGUUUCUUUUUUUUAUUAUGGCACCCUCAACGGAGUUGGGGUGACAUAUUGUUAUUGUUCCGUUUCUUUUUUUCUUAUUUUUAUUUUUAUUCUUCCACACAUUUUGUCCAUGCUAUUUCUCGGGAUUGGUCAGACCCAUGUUGAUGGAACUAUACCAUAAUAUGAACCGCCAUGUGAAGUUGUGCAAGAGACAUUGGAAUGGUAAAAAAUGGCUGCCGUUACCAUGGAAACAAAACAAAUGUGAAAAAUUUCUGUUUUUUGUUUUGGUGAACUGUUUGAAUAUGCUUACACUCAGAAUGAUCAUAUUUUAAUACAAUGUAGGUGCCCACUAUAUACAGGUGUUGGAUGAUUUUGGCACUCAUUGGACCUACUAUGUUGCCAUGGAAACUACACCAAAAAUUUCAAAAAUAUCAAAAUGCUCCAAACUUCAUGAAACUUCACAGUAACGAUGAGCAACAUUGGAAGAUGUGGAAUUUGGCGUUGGAAUUUCCAAAAUAUCUGUAGUUACCAUGGAAACAAUGCAAAAA